rnacentral:rRNA from 1 species
UACGUAGGAGGCGAGCGUUGUUCGGAAUUACUGGGCGUAAAGGGCUCGUAGGCGGCCAACUAAGUCAGACGUGAAAUCCCCAGGCUCAACCUGGGAACUGCGUCUGAUACUGGAUGGCUUGAAUUCGGGAGAGGGAUGCAGAAUUCCAGGUGUAGCGGUGGAAUGCGUAGAUAUCUGGAGGAAUACCGGUGGCGAAGGCGGCAUCCUGGACCGACAUUGACGCUGAGGAGCGAAAGCUAGGGGAGCAAACGGG